rnacentral:tRNA from 7 species
UAAUUUAUAUGUAAUUAGUUAAAUUU